UUGACAAAAAUAGUUUUUAGAAAAAAAAUGUUUGAAGUAUAAAUAUUUUAGUAGUGUUAACGAAACAUAAAAUAAACUAUAGAGAAUUAGUACUGUGAAGGAAUUAUUGAAAUAAUUGAAAAUUUUUCAUGAAAAAAGUACUUAUAAAUUAAGGUACCUUUUGUAUUAGUGGUUAUUAAAAUAAUAUUAUAAAAUUUUUUCUCGAAAAUAAAAGAUCUAAUUAAAUUUUAAAGUUCUUGUAUCAAAAAGAUUUUUUAAGUUUCAUUAGUUGUGAAAUUCUAAUCGCUUUUAUUAAUAUCUAGUAACUUCAGAAAUAAAUUUAGUUUAGAAUGCUAAGGAAUUCUUUAUUGUAAAGUAAUUCUAAAACCAUUUUUAGAUUUUAGGGGAUGAGCUCUAAAAUCAAUAUAAAAGGAUUAAUUCUUAUGUUUUUUCUAUAGGCUUAGAAUUAGCCAUGAGAUAGUGUUAUAAAAUAAAACUUUAAGUUUAAGAUUUAGUUUCCUUUUAAAUUUAUGAGGUUAAUUUUAAAAUUUUUUUUAAAAUGAAAAUAUGAUAACAUUAGUAGAUAAUAAAAUAAGGGGAAACUUUUAAAUUUCCCAGCGUAUUUUUUAUGAAUAAAUUUAACAAAAGAACUCGGCAAACAAAAUUUCCGAAUGUUUAACAAAAACAUUUCCUCCUAGUUUAGGAGGUAAGGCCUGCUCACUGAAUAUUUAAAGAGCCGCAGUAUCCUAACUGUGCUAAGGUAGCAUAAUCAUUUGUCUUUUAAUUGGAGACUGGUAUGAAUGGCUAAACGAGAAAUUAACUUUUUUUGUUAUAUAAAUUGAACUUAAUUUUUCAGUGAAAAAGCUGAAAUUUUUCAGAAAGACGAGAAGACCCUAUAGAGUUUUAUGUCUCUAAAUAUAUUAUCUAAUUUGAUUUUUAUAGAUUUCAUAUCAAAGGACAUUUUGUUGGGGCGACAUUAAGAUAUAAAAAACUCUUUAUUUUCAAAAUUUUUAUAAAAAGUUUGCUUGAUCCUCUAAAAGAGAUCAAAAGAAAAAAUUACCUUAGGGAUAACAGCGUAAUCUUUUUUGAGAGUUCUAAUCGACAAAAAGGUUUGCGACCUCGAUGUUGGACUAAAAUUUAGGCAGGGUGCAGCAGUUCUGCUUUUAGGUCUGUUCGACCUAUAAUAUUUUACACGAUCUGAGUUCAGACCGGCGUAAGCCAGGUUGGUUUCUAUCUUCUGAUUUUACAAAGUCAACUUAGUACGAAAGGAUUGGUUGAUUAUAAUAAUUAUAAUAAAAAGAGGAUUACUAAAAUUUUCUAU
rnacentral:rRNA from 1 species